CCCUAGCCCCGAUUGAAAGCGAUAUCCCGCGCCCAUUUUUGGCGUGGAUAAAGCGGAAAGCGGGACAGCUC
rnacentral:misc_RNA from 1 species